rnacentral:lncRNA from 1 species
AUAGCUGGGAAUGGUAAACAGUGUCCUUGGCAUCAGGGAGAAGAGCCAGCUAGUGUCCCCACACCCUCCUGCACUUGAGCCUGCACAGGGAAGAGGUGCUGUUAGGUGCUGCUAAUUGGAUGACUUCAGAGCCCUUUAAGCCACCGAUAACGAUGUAUGCUAUCAUAACUGGAUGCAUGUCAGACAAGGGGAAAACUGCAGACCUGAGGGGAGAAACCGCUCCGCUACCAGCAUGUGCGGGAGUCUUAAUGGGCUGCUUGGAGGUGGCCUAACUGUUUCUGCCUGGUUGACAUCAGAGUCACUAGAGAAGCAGGAAAACCAGGUUCUGUGGGCCUGGGGCUGGGAGCCACCAAGGAUAACGCCCAGUGCUUUUGAUAGGAGGCAGAUGGGGAGCCACCUGAGGGCUAGGAGCAGAAAGGCAGGUCAGCCUGUUACAGAGACUUGCCCAGCAGCCAAGGUGGGUGCUAAGAACAGAAGCUGGGGAGGGUGUUUGGACGCAGGUAAGGCCAAGCUUUAAGAAUAUCUGGGUUUAAGGCAGGCAGUGCUCGUGCAUACCUUUAAUUUCAGCACUUGAGAGGCAGAUGCAGGUGGAUUUCUGUGAGUUCCAGGCCAGCCUGGUCUAUAGAAAUAGUUCCAGGACAGCCAGGGCUACACAGAGAAACUCUGGUUAAAA